rnacentral:rRNA from 1 species
AACGCGAAGAACCUUACCUGGGCUCGAACGGCUCACGAAAGUCUUUGGAAACAGAGAUUUCCCGCAAGGGACGGGAGUCGAGGUGCUGCAUGGCUGUCGUCAGCUCGUGUCGUGAGAUGUUGGGUUAAGUCCCGCAACGAGCGCAACCCUCGCCCUUAGUUGCCAUCAUUCAGUUGGGCUCUCUAAGGGGACUGCCGGUGAUAAGCCGCGAGGAAGGUGGGGAUGACGUCAAGUCCUCAUGGCCCUUACGGGCUGGGCUACACACGUGCUACAAUGGCGGUGACAGUGGGAUGCAAUGGGGCAACCCUGCGCAAAUCUCAAAAAGCCGUACUCAGUUCGGAUUGUGCUCUGCAACUCGAGCACAUGAAGUUGGAAUCGCUAGUAAUCGCAGAUCAGCACGCUGCGGUGAAUACGUUCCCGGGCCUUGUACACACCGGUACUA